GUAGGGAAUAUUGGGCAAUGGAGGCAACUCUGACCCAGCCAUGCCGCGUGCAGGAUGACGGCCCUCUGGGUUGUAAACUGCUUUUAUACGGGAAGAAAAAAUACUACGUGUAGUAUACUGACGGUACCGUAAGAAUAAGGAUCGGCUAACUCCGUGCCAGCAGCCGCGGUAAUACGGAGGAUCCAAGCGUUGUCCGGAUUUAUUGGGUUUAAAGGGUGCGUAGGCGGAUCUUUAAGUCAGUGGUGAAAGCCUGCAGCUUAACUGUAGAAUUGCCAUUGAAACUGAAGAUCUUGAAUGUGAGUAAAGUAGGCGGAAUGUAUCAUGUAGCGGUGAAAAGCUUAGAUAUGAUACAGAACACCGAUAGCGAAGGCAGCUUGCUGAACCAUUAUUGACGCUAAGGCACGAAAGCGUGGGGAGCGAACAGGAUUAGAAACCCCGGUAGUCC
rnacentral:rRNA from 1 species